GCACACACACACACUCAGACUCAACACUCAUCUUUUCCUUUUUUUACUUCUUUUCCAAGGACAUUAGAGAUAGAUACAUACACUAGCAUUAGGGAUAAGAAUAUACAGAUUGCCUAGCCUAAACACACAACACAAUCAUCCUAAUACACCUAAUUCCAAAACACAUACGGACAAUAACCGGGCAUAGAAAAACAAUCAGCGGCAAAGGGUCUUCUUUUUCAUUUUGCUAAAAUCAAACUUCACCAGCACCUCUUCUUUUCUCCAGCCAUGAAAAGCCACCAAAAAUCCCAUUAAAAUCAGUUCACUAAGCCACCCAUAGCCAGUGCAAACCCAGUUGUCCUUUACGGCGAGUUUCGGUUUCUCCAGCAAGACUCCGUUCAGUCGAGGCUCUCGUUAGCGGUUUCCGUCCAAGUUCACAGCAGUUAAAAUAAAAUAGAGAAAAAGUUCCUAUUUACUUAAAGCUUUAUGUGAUUUAGAAGUGAUCGGAAAAGAAAUCAAGUGAAAACAAGUCAAAAGAGGCCAAAUUGAAGAAAUGAGAAAAGUGGCUAAAAUUGCAAAAAUGGCAAGAUUUGUAAUUCCGAAAAUCAGUGGCUAUUUUGGACAUAUUUUUUAUUGGAAAAUUGUGCAACUAUAAUAGGAAGACUUUAAGGAAAAUAUCAUCAUCAUUGGCCACAUUUCAAGCUUGGAAGCUUGGGUUCAUCAUCAACCAUAUCAUUAGCGGAGAAGAUUGGAGCACUUGAAUGAUAAAUUUCUUAACGCUUUCUUUAAUUCUUUGCUUUGUAUUGUAUAUCUAAGUGUGUAGAAUUUUAUUCCAUCACUUUAAUCUUGUUUAUGAAACUAUGCAUUUGCAAAGUUGGAUGAAAUCUCUGGUUAUGCUUAUGUAUUGAAUGAUUUUUAUUUCUAUUGAAGUGGGUCUUUAUUGUUUUAA